CCUUGUUUGCAUUGCGCAACAGUGACAACAUUUUCUACCUGCUUCCAUGCAAACCCUAACGCCAUCGAUACCGGCGUUGCCUUUGUCGCCCUGAUGGAACAGCACAUUGAAUGAAGGGUCUGAGAAAAGAGUAUCAACAUGCUCUACCUUCCGUCCAGGCAGUCCAUUCAGGCCAGGACUCCCAGUCCGUCCCGGGAAGCCCCGGAAUCCCUUGUCUCCCUUCACGCCUUUAUCUCCUGGUGAUCCUACGUCUCCUGCAUCCCCCUGAGAAACCAGAAGUGAAAUAUGCAUGAUGAUGUAAAGACUUGAGGAGCAUAAAAGUACCU